AGUGAACGCUGGCGGUAGGCCUAACACAUGCAAGUCGAACGGCAGCACAGUAAGAGCUUGCUCUUACGGGUGGCGAGUGGCGGACGGGUGAGGAAUACAUCUGGAUCUACUUUUUCGUGGGGGAUAACGUAGGGAAACUUACGCUAAUACCGCAUACGACCUACGGGUGAAAGCAGGGGAUCUUCGGACCUUGCGCGAUUGAAUGAGCCGAUGUCGGAUUAGCUAGUUGGCGGGGUAAAGGCCCACCAAGGCGACGAUCCGUAGCUGGUCUGAGAGGAUGAUCAGCCACACUGGAACUGAGACACGGUCCAGACUCCUACGGGAGGCAGCAGUGGGGAAUAUUGGACAAUGGGCGCAAGCCUGAUCCAGCCAUACCGCGUGGGUGAAGAAGGCCUUCGGGUUGUAAAGCCCUUUUGUUGGGAAAGAAAAGCAGCAGGUUAAUACCCCGCUGUUCUGACGGUACCCAAAGAAUAAGCACCGGCUAACUUCGUG
rnacentral:rRNA from 1 species